rnacentral:rRNA from 1 species
UUGGCUUGGUGGAGGCCUACACAUGCAGUCGAGCGCGCCUUCGGGGUGAGCGGCGGACGGGUUAGUAACGCGUGGGAAUAUACCCUUUGGUACGGAAUAGCCUCUGGAAACGGAGAGUAAUACCGUAUGAGCCCUUCGGGGGAAAGAUUUAUCGCCAAAGGAUUAGCCCGCGUUAGAUUAGGUAGUUGGUGGGGUAAUGGCCUACCAAGCCUACGAUCUAUAGCUGGUUUUAGAGGAUGAUCAGCAACACUGGGACUGAGACACGGCCCAGACUCCUACGGGAGGCAGCAGUGGGGAAUCUUGGACAAUGGGGGCAACCCUGAUCCAGCCAUGCCGCGUGAGUGAUGAAGGCCUUAGGGUCGUAAAGCUCUUUCGCCUGUGAAGAUAAUGACGGUAGCAGGUAAAGAAACCCCGGCUAACUCCGUGCCAGCAGCCGCGGUAAUACGGAGGGGGUUAGCGUUGUUCGGAAUUACUGGGCGUAAAGCGCACGUAGGCGGACUGGAAAGUUGGGGGUGAAAUCCCGGGGCUCAACCCCGGAACUGCCUCCAAAACUAUCAGUCUAGAGUUCGAGAGAGGUGAGUGGAAUUCCGAGUGUAGAGGUGAAAUUCGUAGAUAUUCGGAGGAACACCAGUGGCGAAGGCGGCUCACUGGCUCGAUACUGACGCUGAGGUGCGAAAGUGUGGGGAGCAAACAGGAUUAGAUACCCUGGUAGUCCACACCGUAAACGAUGAAUGCCAGUCGUCGGGUAGCAUGCUAUUCGGUGACACACCUAACGGAUUAAGCAUUCCGCCUGGGGAGUACGGUCGCAAGAUUAAAACUCAAUGUUGGGGGGGGGGGG